AAUAUCCAAUUCCUAUUUGCAUUUCCUACCUAACCGCGGAAAUCAGAUAGUCGAUACACUUUGCAUUUCGUAACUUUCCUGAGCAAUCAGAGCCGUUGAUUUCCGAACACGAACUAUCCUUCGACGAUGGAAUCGAAGGCAGAUGAUCGCCGGUGCAAGCGCAACGAUGGUCAAAAGUGGCGGUGCAGGGAAACGGCGUCGUCGGGGAAGUCGUACUGUGAAAAGCACUUGGCGCAGCUCAAGAGUAGGACUAAGAAUAAGAACAUUCAGAGAGAAAGAUCCAACGGAGACAGCGAUGCCGAUAAUCCUAAGAAGAGCUCUGAAAAGCACUCGGCGCAGCUCAAGAAUAAGACUAGGAAUAAGAAAAUUCAGAGAGAAAGAUCAGACGGAGACAGCGGUUCCGAUAAUCCUGUGAAGAAUUGCAAAUUAAAGGAGGAGAAGCCUAACAAGAAGACGGAGCAGCGUGUGAGCUUGAUGUGCCACCAGUGUCAGCGGAACGACAAGAGUGGCGUUGUCCACUGUUCUAAUUGUAAGAUAAAGCGAUUUUGCUUCGAGUGCAUUGAAAGAUGGUACCCUGGGAAGACAAGAGAGGAAAUAGCGAAGAAUUGCCCAUUUUGCUGUUGCAACUGCAACUGCAAAGAUUGCUUGCGCCAGUUUAUUAAGAAACCUUGCAACAUAAAAGUUGAGCCCAGUGUCAAAUUACAGCGGCUGAAGUACUUGCUAUAUGAAGCUUUACCUGUUCUGAGGCAUAUUCAUACUGAGCAGAGCUUUGAACUAGAGAUUGAAGCCAAAAUACGAGGUGUUCAGUUGAGUGAAAUGGACAUAACGAGAACUAAAAUAGAUCAAAGUGAACGUAUGUAUUGCGACAAUUGCUAUACAUCUAUUGUUGAUUUCCACAGAAGCUGCCCCAACAUCCAUUGUUCCUACGAUCUCUGUCUUACUUGUUGCCAAGAGCUAAGGAAAGGCUGCCAACCUGGAGGUAGUGAAGCAGAAACAUCUCACCAACAAUCAGUGGAAAGAGCUCAGAAACAAGUGACUAAAAGCGAGGACAAUACUAAUUUGAAAAGGAAAAGACAUGGCUGGGAGAGCCAAAUUACCCUUGCUGCUGAUGAUUCUAAAACUGAUGUGACUCUUUCUUUUCCUAACUGGAGAGCUAAUCCUGAUGGGAGCAUUCCAUGUCCUCCAAAAGAAUGUGGAGGUUGUGGCAAGGUAAAGCUGGAAUUGAGGCGCAAAUGUAAAGCUAAUUGGGUAACAAAGCUGUUAAAAAGUGCAGAGGAUGUUACUAGUGACUUCAAGAAGCAAGAUGUCGAUAUGUCUCAACGAUGCUCCUGGUGCCAGCCGAAUGAUUCCGAGGAAGAUAAUAACCUACAGUCUGAAGUGAGGCAGGCGGCAUUCAGGAAAAACAGUGAUGAUAACUUCUUAUACUGUCCAAGUGCUGUUGACAUUGCAGAUGAUGAAAUUGAGCAUUUUCAGAGGCAUUGGAUGAAUGGGGAACCUGUGAUAGUCAGAAAUGUUCUUGACAAGACAUCUGGUCUUAGUUGGGAACCUAUGGUCAUGUGGAGGGCUUUUAGAGAAACGGGUGCCAAGGUAAAGUUUAAGGAGGAGACACGAAGUGUGAAGGCCAUUGACUGCUGGGAUUGGUGUGAGGUUGAAAUUAAUAUUCACCAAUUUUUCACGGGCUACUUAGAGGGUCGUGUACAUAAAAGUGGGUGGCCAGAGAUGUUGAAAUUGAAGGAUUGGCCCUCAUCAACUUUAUUUGAGGAGCGACUGCCAAGGCAUUGUGCUGAAUUUAUCGCAGCACUCCCCUACAGUGACUAUACUGAUCCAAAAGAUUCAGGCAUAGGUUGUCUCAAUCUUGCUACAAAACUUCCUGUUGAUUCAUUGAAACCUGAUAUGGGACCGAAAACAUACAUUGCCUAUGGAUUUUCUGAAGAGCUUGGUAGAGGCGAUUCAGUAACGAAGUUACACUGUGAUAUGUCUGAUGCGGUCAACGUUCUGACUCACACAACAAGAGUGAGGAUCGCUCCUUGGCAGCAGAAAAAAAUAGAAGGUUUGCAGCGCAAGCAUGAAGCUGAAGACUUGUGUGAACUCUACAAUGAAAGAGAUGACGACAAUGGGAGAGUUAGAGGAAAAUCGUUGAAGAAAACUCACAAACUGCAGAUCCUGAGUGCUGAUUCUGGGGAAUGUACUAAAAAUGAGAACAUUGUGGAGAGUGACCAUCUAACGCCAAAACAGGAACAGUUGUCAGAUUCUGUGGAUCUAGGUGGCAUUGUCGGACAUGAAGAAACAGAGUAUGUUUCGGAAUCUCCUGAUACUCCGAGUCUUGAUCAUCAGAGGAGUGAACGGAUGCAAUCCACCUUGCCUCAUACAAAUGAGGUUGAAGCAGAGCAAGAACAUGUUCAAUGUUCCACCGACAUCAUGAUUGGGAGGCUUGGUGGGAAAGAUGCUUCAGGGUUUUGUUUCUCAGACAAUAAUGCAGUUGAUGAUAUAAAAAAGUCAAACGUGAGGCAAACAAAGGAUUCUCUUGAAAGUAAUGAUGGGUUAGAUGCUGCCCAUGGUGGUGCUGUUUGGGACAUCUUUCGCAACCAGGAUGUUCCCAAGUUAAUAAAGUACUUGGAUAAACACAAGAAAGAGUUUCGCCACAUUAAUAAUCAUCCUGUAGAUUCUGUUGUUCAUCCUAUUCAUGAUCAGACUCUUUACUUAAAUGAGAGACAUAAGAAACAACUAAAGGAGGAGUUCAAUGUGGAGCCUUGGACAUUUAUGCAAUACCUUGGUGAGGCAGUUUUUAUUCCCGCAGGAUGUCCUCAUCAAGUGAGAAAUACACAAUCUUGCAUAAAGGUAGCACUUGAUUUUGUAUCUCCUGAGAGUCUUGAAGAAUGUCUUCGAUUGACUGAAGAGUUCCGUUUGCUCCCAAAAAACCAUAGAGCCAAGGAAGACAAAUUGGAGGUGAAAAAGAUGACACUUUAUGCUGUAAGUUCAGCUCUAAGAGAAGCCGAAAGUUUGAUGUCAAAGCUCGAGUGAGACUUGGUCGUUUACUAUAAUACCGGAGCUCUGACUGCAAGAGGUUAUGGGUUUGAAAUCUCCAAACGAAAUCUCUCACUUAUUUGUUAAUUUGCAAGGUGGAGGAUGAGGUUGUACAUUUAUGUCUCUAUGCCUGCAUUUUUUCGACGUGUUUACACGUUGUAGGAUGGAGCUGCACGUAAGGGACUAUGUGAAUGAGGGCGUUGGUUUUGCACACAUUGUUGGCCCACUCCCUAACAGUUUAAGCUUUUGGGGUUUAGUGGUUGCCCAACAUACUAGUAGCCAGACAAUUGUUUGGUUAUGCUGUGUGCCUAUUGAAGUCAAUCUUGAAGGAGUUGCAGCUUUGUGGAGACUUCAUUGACAAUGUUGGGGCUGCUCCAUGAACAACUUUGGUUGUGAAGCCCCCAACAAUCAAUGAAGACAAGAAAAAUUUUCAAAAGCAAAAGUGGAAAGUAUCGACAGUAGAUAUGAAUGGGAGCAUAUGGUGGCAAUCACACAAAUGCAAUGAAAACGUUGUAUGGCAAGCAUGCUGAUAACUUCCCCCGUUACAUCCAACCCAUUGAAAAUUGAAGAGGAGGAGUAACCAGUUGGGCAAGAACUACAAAGCUUCUAAUCUACUUUUGUAUGUUCUCGUUAAAAAUAACAGAAUUUUAUGUAUUCACAGAAGGCGUCGUGUAUGAGGCUUUGCUAAUUGCAUACUUGCAAAAACAACUUAGUUACUAGCUGUUACACCCUUCGCUCUCCUAUCCCUAAAGUUUAUCUUUUGGUGUGACUUUGACACUAA